rnacentral:rRNA from 1 species
ACGAACGCUGGCGGCGUGCCUAAUACAUGCAAGUCGAGCGAGCGGAACUAACAGAUUUACUUCGGUAAUGACGUUAGGAAAGCGAGCGGCGGAUGGGUGAGUAACACGUGGGGAACCUGCCCCAUAGUCUGGGAUACCACUUGGAAACAGGUGCUAAUACCGGAUAAGAAAGCAGAUCGCAUGAUCAGCUUUUAAAAGGCGGCGUAAGCUGUCGCUAUGGGAUGGCCCCGCGGUGCAUUAGCUAGUUGGUAAGGUAAAGGCUUACCAAGGCGAUGAUGCAUAGCCGAGUCGAGAGACUGAUCGGCCACAUUGGGACUGAGACACGGCCCAAACUCCUACGGGAGGCAGCAGUAGGGAAUCUUCCACAAUGGACGCAAGUCUGAUGGAGCAACGCCGCGUGAGUGAAGAAGGUGUUCGGAUCGUAAAGCUCUGUUGUUGGUGAAGAAGGAUAGAGGUAGUAACUGGCCUUUAUUUGACGGUAAUCAACCAGAAAGUCACGGCUAACUACGUG